ACACAAGACAGCAACAAUCAGCGCGUCUCUAGCAGGUGUCAGUGUCAUAUUUUUUAUCAUUGGUGCCAUUUGCAGAGCUCAAAGCAAAAAAAAAGGGAAUCCACUUGCGCAAACCAACGCAAAUACUGUGGAGGGAAACUACAACUCCAAUCUGGCGGGAAAUUACAACACUGCGUAUGGGUUAGCCGAUAAGAGCGCAAAUCCGACUGCGGCCCCUCCUCCGGCCUACUCAGAAGUUGUGAAAUCGUGAGCGCACCGAACAGCACUAGUGUCUCUGCGGCCUUGUGUGUGGAGGGACGCCUGCGGGGAUGGGGACCUGGCGGCGGAGACCAUAGACUUGCAUUGUGAUAAUAAUAUUCUAGACCGUACACUCUGACGUAA